AAAAAGCUCUGUGGUGAAAUAUCACGUUGAAUUGCAAAUUCAAAGAAGCAGCUUCAACCCUGCCGGGGCUUC
rnacentral:tRNA from 1 species